rnacentral:rRNA from 1 species
GACGAACGCUGGCGGCGUGCUUAACACAUGCAAGUCGAACGGAAAGGCCCUGCUUUUGUGGGGUGCUCGAGUGGCGAACGGGUGAGUAACACGUGAGUAACCUGCCCUUGACUUUGGGAUAACUUCAGGAAACUGGGGCUAAUACCGGAUAGGAGCUCCUGCUGCAUGGUGGGGGUUGGAAAGUUUCGGCGGUUGGGGAUGGACUCGCGGCCUAUCAGCUUGUUGGUGGGGUAGUGGCUUACCAAGGCUUUGACGGGUAGCCGGCCUGAGAGGGUGACCGGCCACAUUGGGACUGAGAUACGGCCCAGACUCCUACGGGAGGCAGCAGUGGGGAAUAGUGCACAAUGGGCGGAAGCCUGAUGCAGCAACGCCGCGUGCGGGAUGACGGCCUUCGGGUUGUAAACCGCUUUCGCCUGUGACGAAGCGUGAGUGACGGUAAUGGGUAAAGAAGCACCGGCUAACUACGUG